AUCCACACUUUCCUCACCACAGGGGAGGCUCCUGGAGGCUGACAUUUCAUAUCACCACGUCACCAUGCCUGUCUCUGACAGGGAGAAAAUUUUCGUCGCUCGCCUCAUUGGGUUGUAAACCUUUAUGAACACCGCAACUAAUAGCCCCGGUAAGUAGAAGAUUAAUUUCUAUACCACCUGGCAGCAAGCUGUGGAUUAGGCUGCUGUCCCUCGUGUGGGUUUAAUGUUGGAGGAAUGGGGCACUUGAGCACCCAGACAAUCAGCCUCUUGUUUAAACAAUGAGCUUCUCGGUCUUGUUAGCCAGCACUCUUAAAUUUUCAUUUUAUUCUGGUAUGCAGGCUUGUGUGAUGUGGAGAAUUGCUUCAGCACAGAGACUGCAAACCUGUUCAAUUAAAGGAAAUGCUCAGAUCCAGCUGUUGGAGUCCCAUGACUGCCAAUACUCCUCAUAGAGAAAGCAGCAGCUGAGCCCACAGGCUCUGUGCAAGAAAUUUGCUGAAGAAAUCCCCUCUGCACGUGGCCAACAGCCUGAAUCAGCCUUUUCUGGUGGAUGGUGAAACAGUGGAAGACCUUUGAAGGAAAUUGCUACCAUGGGGUUUGUCUGGCUGUGAGAUAAGUUAAAAUGCAAAACCAGAGAACAACUGUGGUCCAGCUGAUGAGGCGGUAUAAAUCAAGAGUUGGGGCACUAAGUUUUUUUGCAGAUGUGCUUCCCAGAGGAGGAAGAGCAGAUGCCUUUGCUCCAGGAGCUACAGUUGUGUCCCAUCCCAGCUGGACAAGCCCCUGCACCUACAGCAUCUCUCCUACUGCUGUGGAGGUGUUUGCAUGAGAGCAGUCUGCCAUGCACCUUCACCUGCGGGGCUGUCUCUGAUGUGUGCCUCUUGCAGCCACAGACACCUGCUCCUGUGUGCAGGGGGAGUGUUAGGCCACUCUUGACAAGGCUUCAGCUCACACAGAGCCAGGGCUGUGCUGUGAGGGGGAAGUGGGACACAGAAAACCCUUACAGCCUUGAAAACCCAGCGGGACUGCAGGCAGAAUCCUGUUGCACAGCAGCCAGACUGGCUGGCACCCCAACAGGGCACUUCAUCCCCAGACAGCUGCAGCUGGCCAUGACAACAGCCAUGCUGGGCCGUGUUGGGGCAGGCUGCAGGGCAGCUAUGGGGGGAAUGCAGUGGCACCCAGGGGUACUGCUUCUUGCACAGCACAAACCACUCGUGAUGUACAUGUGAGACACAAACCCCUGGCAUGCUCCAAGUGCACACCACACUGGAGACACAAAACACACAUCCCUACACUCCUAAAAGACACAACACCCUCUGCUGCACAGCACUUACACACUGCAUAAAUGGAAA